AGUCGAGCGGAGAUGAGGUGCUUGCACCUUAUCUUAGCGGCGGACGGGUGAGUAAUGCUUAGGAAUCUGCCUAUUAGUGGGGGACAACAUUCCGAAAGGGAUGCUAAUACCGCAUACGUCCUACGGGAGAAAGCAGGGGAUCUUCGGACCUUGCGCUAAUAGAUGAGCCUAAGUCGGAUUAGCUAGUUGGUGGGGUAAAGGCCUACCAAGGCGACGAUCUGUAGCGGGUCUGAGAGGAUGAUCCGCCACACUGGGACUGAGACACGGCCCAGACUCCUACGGGAGGCAGCAGUGGGGAAUAUUGGACAAUGGGGGGAACCCUGAUCCAGCCAUGCCGCGUGUGUGAAGAAGGCCUUAUGGUUGUAAAGCACUUUAAGCGAGGAGGAGGCUACUGAGACUAAUACUCUUGGAUAGUGGACGUUACUCGCAGAAUAAGCACCGGCUAACUCUGUGCCAGCAGCCGCGGUAAUACAGAGGGUGCGAGCGUUAAUCGGAUUUACUGGGCGUAAAGCGUGCGUAGGCGGCUUUUUAAGUCGGAUGUGAAAUCCCCGAGCUUAACUUGGGAAUUGCAUUCGAUACUGGGAAGCUAGAGUAUGGGAGAGGAUGGUAGAGUUCCAGGUGUAGCGGUGAAAUGCGUAGAGAUCUGGAGGAAUACCGAUGGCGAAGGCAGCCAUCUGGCCUAAUACUGACGCUGAGGUACGAAAGCAUGGGGAGCAAACAGGAUUAGAUACCCUGGUAGUCCAUGCCGUAAACGAUGUCUACUAGCCGUUGGGGCCUUUGAGGCUUUAGUGGCGCAGCUAACGCGAUAAGUAGACCGCCUGGGGAGUACGGUCGCAAGACUAAAACUCAAAUGAAUUGACGGGGGCCCGCACAAGCGGUGGAGCAUGUGGU
rnacentral:rRNA from 1 species